AACGAACGCUGGCGGCAUGCCUAACACAUGCAAGUCGAACGAUCCCUUCGGGGAUAGUGGCGCACGGGUGCGUAACGCGCGGGAACCUGCCCUUAGGUUCGGAACAACUCAGAGAAAUUUGAGCUAAUACCGGAUAAUGUCUUCGGACCAAAGAUUUAUCGCCUUUGGAUGGGCCCGCGUUGGAUUAGCUAGUUGGUGGGGUAAAGGCCUACCAAGGCGACGAUCCAUAGCUGGUCUGAGAGGAUGAUCAGCCACACUGGGACUGAGACACGGCCCAGACUCCUACGGGAGGCAGCAGUGGGGAAUAUUGGACAAUGGGCGAAAGCCUGAUCCAGCAAUGCCGCGUGAGUGAUGAAGGCCUUAGGGUUGUAAAGCUCUUUUACCCGGGAUGAUAAUGACAGUACCGGGAGAAUAAGCCCCGGCUAACUCCGUG
rnacentral:rRNA from 1 species